rnacentral:other from 1 species
GCCCUGCUGUGUUCGACAGCAGACCAGAAAACCCCUUGAGCCGAUGCUUACAGCACCUCGGGGUCGGUCUUCGGAAUGCGGUGUGCAUGUCCGCCAUGAGCGGAAAGCCUAAAGCCCCGUGUCGGCCCCACUUGAACCUUAUGGUUCAAGGCCCACGGUCUACACCGGCACAAGCGGGGCG